AUGGCUGCGGAUGCUGCGGAUGCUCUCCGCCGCAUCCUGCAUCCGCGCCGUCUCUCCAUCUUCUUCCUCGCCGUCACCCUGUCCUCUGCGCCGGCCCCGACGCAAGCGCUGCUCGGCGUCCGGCCGGAGGACACCCAGAUCGGAGCGCUGUCCGUGCAGGACGGGAUGCUGAGGGCGACCGAGGGCACCCGCUUCAUGCUGAGGGUUUACUACUCUGCAGCAUCCGCGGAGCAUCCCAACAGCCUGAACCUCACCGGCAGACCCGACCGCGCACCAUCCGCUCCGUGGAUCGCGUUUAUCGAGGAGCCAGGCGGGGACAGCAGCGCGGACGCGGAGGGGAAGCUUCGCCCCAGGGGGAACCCGUGUGUGGAGGAGAAUGCCCGGAGCUCGGAUAUCGAGCUGCUGGGUUCCUUCAGAUCCACAUCAAGUCACAACUCAGUUUUGGUGGAGCUGCUCGCGAAAGACCUGCGCAGAGGCGAGGUGAUCAAAUACUACUCCAUGUGCGCCUUCGAUGGAGUGAAAUGGGAACAUUUCAGGACCAGAGACUUCUGGUUGGCGGUGGUGGAGAGACCUCCAGAUGCAGAUGUUUGGCUCCAGGCGGGUGUGUCGGUGCUCCUGUUGGCGCUGUCGGCACUCUGCAGCGGUCUGAACAUCAGCAUGCUGGCUCUGGACCCCGUGGAGCUGCGGGUCCUGCAGAACAGUGGCACAGAGAAGGAGCAGAAAUACGCGCGGAAAAUAGAGUCAGUGCGUAAACAUGGUAACUACAUCCUUUGCACUGUGGUGCUGGGCAACGUGCUCACAAACACGUGCUUUGUGGUGUGGAUGUGCCAGAUUUUAGGAAUGACUGUUCUCUCAACUACCUUCUGCACUUUGGGGAUCUUCUUCAUUGGUGAGAUUUUACCUCACUCCUUAGCGUCCAGGCACAGCCUCGCCAUCGCCUCCAAGACCCUCUGCGCGACGCGUCUGCUGAUGCUGCUGUUCUUCCCCAUCGCCUACCCGGUCUCCAAGCUCCUGGACAUCAUGCUGCACCAAGAGAUCAGCAGCUUCUACACCAGGGAGAAGCUGGUGGCCAUGCUGCGCGUCACGGACCCGUACCACGACCUGGUCAAGGAGGAGCUCAACAUCAUCCAGGGAGCGCUUGAGCUGAGGACCAAGACGGUGGAGGACGUGCUGACGCCGCUGUCCGACUGCUACAUGCUGUCUUCGGACGCCGUGCUGGACUUCUGCACCAUGUCGGACGUGAUGCAGAGCGGCUUCACGCGGAUCCCGGUCUACGAGAACGACAGGUCCAACAUCGUGGACAUCCUGUUUGUGAAAGACUUGGCCUUCGUGGACCCCGACGACUGCACCCCUCUGAAAACCAUCAACCAGUUCUACAAGCACCCCAUGCACUGCGUGUUCAACGACACCAAGCUGGAUGUGAUGCUGGAGGAAUUCAAAAGAGGUAAAUCCCACCUGGCCGUGGUGCAGAGGGUGAACAGCGAGGGCGAGGGCGACCCCUUCUACGAGAUGAUCGGCAUCGUCACGCUGGAGGACGUCAUCGAGGAGAUCAUCAAGUCUGAGAUCGUGGACGAGACGGACCUGUACACUGAUAAUCGGAACAAGAGACGAGUGUCCACCCAGGAGAGGAAACCACAGGAUUUCUCCAUCUUCAAACUGGCAGAAAAUGAGCUGAAGGUGAAGGUCUCGCCGCAGCUGCUGCUCGCAACCCACCGCUUCUUGGCCACAGAGGUGGAGCCCUUUAGGCCGUGUCACCUGUCAGAGAAGAUCUUGCUGCGUCUCAUUAAACAUCCCAGCGUUGUGCAGGAGCUCAAGUUCGACCCCAAGAACAAGCACGCUCCUCAACACUACCUCUUCCAGAGAAACAAACCCGUCGACUACUUCGUCCUCAUCCUGCAGGGGCGGGUGGAGGUGGAGAUCGGAAAGGAGGCCCUCCGCUUUGAAAAUGGAGUUUUUUCAUAUUACGGCAUGCCAGCACUCAUCCCACUGCCUCUCGGUCACAGGUACAGUUCCCGCUGCAGUGGUCUGAACCAAUCAGAUUCAUUACUGAGUGGAAGCAGCGUGGGUCAGCUCACUACAGGAGGAGGGAUCUAUUUACCAGACUACUCCGUUCGACAGCUCACAGACCUGCAGAUCAUCAAGAUCACCAGGACCCACUACCAGAACGCCCUGAUGGCCUCCAGGAUGGACGGCUCCCCUCAGACACCGGACCCAUUGGAUCCUGAUGCCAAAGGGAGGCCCCCGGGCCCAGAGGCUCGCUCGCACAGCAUCGCCCUCCCCCUCACAAACACGCACACUCGGAUGGGGCUGGCUCGCCUGGCACAUCUCCAUCCCCACGGCACCCUGUGCAACACGUCCCGGCUCAAUGAGAGAAACCGUAUCGUGCGCAGUAAAUCUGACGGGCAGAAGAGUCCCAACGAUUCCGUGUUCUUCCGCAUGGACGAGAUUCCAUACAUUCACGAGGACAGACCAGAAAGUUAUGGAGAGGAUGAUGUCCCCACUGAGUCUCAGCAGUCCACCUCUCCUGUCAUCAGCUCUCUGUCUCUGUCCAGCUCCGAGGAGACGAUCGGAAAGAAACUCUUGCGUAAACUCAGUAACAAAAGGAGGAAAAAGUCUCGGGAAGGAGAUUAUAGUUUGGAGGAGGGCUUGGAGAAACCGCCGGUGACGAGCUAGCACAGCGGCACAGAGGAAGAGGGACAAAGGCCACAUCUUCCUCCUCGUCGUCCACCUCAGUCCAUGUCCCAUCCACUAACACGGAGGAGGCAGGGGGUUUUGACCUAUACUACCGACUCUGCAGACUCUGGCUUCACUUUGGGGAGCGGUCAUCCCUUCUAUCUCUAUAUACAGUCCAUGCUAUGGGUUUUUAGAGGGAAGUGAGGUGAAAGGUACCGUCCGAACUGAGGAGGGCGGAGGAGGCCAUGAACGCUGUUCACUGAGGGAAACUUUAAAGCCAUUCUAAUAGAAAAGAACUAGUGCAAUAAUAAUCUGAUUGGUUAGAUCUUUUAUAAUGAAGAGAUAACUUGAUUGUUUCUAGCCGGGGGAGUGUACAGGCACAGGUUGGACUGUGCUUAUCUGCGUUGUGAAACCUUGGCAGGUUCUCUGCUCCAGGGAGCCGACAGAAGUAUGUUUGAAAGAGGAAAGCAAUAUGACGCACGCUGACGUCAAGCCACCACCUCUUUUCAAACACACACACACACGCACAGGGGCGGUGUUUGGGGACAUUCAGCGAUAUAAUUCAUUCUGCCUGUGGAAGUACAAAGGAGACUGCACUGCUAAGCUAUUCACAUUGAUCUGUCUGUAUACACUGAACACACAGGCGGAGGUCCUCUGAUGUGACCACUGACUCAGAGCCAGGAGGAUUUGUGUGAUUUAGAAACGGUCGCAGCUUUCACAGAUUUUUUUGGGUUGGUUUACACAGAUUUAUAUUCAUAGCUGCAAGGACUGUUUGUACAGGAUAAACCGUCAAUGUCACAUUUUGUAAUAUAAAAAUUAUAUAAGUCGCCUAAAGAUAUGAAGAGGGAGAGUAUAUGCCCGGCACAAGGGACAAAUUAAUUAUUAAUAAAUUAAAUUAACUACUGUU